CAUUAAGAAGCUGUAGGCUAGCGACAGCCUUUUAAGCUGUAGGUAGGUGAUUCCAACCACCCUUAAUGA
rnacentral:tRNA from 2 species